UUCUUUAUUGUUUUCUGUUACAAUUGAUUUUUUAGGGCACAACAACUGAAGUUAUACAUCACUCUUUUUUCCCCACUUAAAGGUUAUGCAAAAUCUUCUUUGAUAAUCAACUUCACGAUUAUAUACCAAUCUACAGCAAUGAAAAAGAUAAUCUAUAUAUUAUAUAAAACAUCAGUUUAACGGAUAUAUUUUCCCGGCAAAAUUUAAAGUUACGGUUUCUCACACACGUUCUCCCCCAAUCUCUCUGAAAACAUAGUUUUGGAGCAGUUUUUUUGUGCACCAAAUUUGACAGCUUAUUUCACAAAAUCGUGUGAUAUUGUGUGAAUUGUGAUCAGUUAUUUUAAGGAGAAUCAUUUAUAUCUUCUUCAUAUAAAACUUCAUGCGACGCGGCUCAUCCCGUUCUUCAACAGCUUAACUAUGAAGAGAGAGAAUCUAGGGUUUCUGCAGCAACAACAGGGAAUGGGAAUCGAGAGUACACUACACACUAAUGAUGUUGCAGGUAGUUCGAUGCACUGCGGGGGGAUGUGAGGCGAAUAAGUAGUAUUGAAUCUCUUUUCUUUUAUGUUUAACCUAUUCCCGAGGAAAUAAUUGCGAAGCCUAUUGGAGUUUUUUUGUUUAUUAUUUGUGAUUGUCUGCAACUAAGUUCUUUUGUUAUUUGUUAUUAAUUAUGUUGAUGAAUAAAGUUGCAUUGACAUUUGGGAAGUUUUGAUUAGAUUUGUUUUUGCUGUAAAUUGAACCCCCAUUUCGCACACGUCACACAUUAAGGAAGCUGAAAAACACAGCAAAGAGCUUGGCGGUCACGGUUUGAGGUCGCGCACCAGAGAUUCCUUUUCCCGAAGAAGGGUCCAACCCACCUCACCACCUACCUUUGCAUCUUCAAAAUCGGCGAUUAUGUCGACGUUAAGGUUAACGGUUCCAUCCACAAGGGCUUGCCCAUCAAGUACUACCAUGGCCGCACCGGUCGUGGUCGUGUCUGGAAUGUCGCCAAAUGCGCGUCAGUGUCGAAGUCAACAAGCAGGUUGGUAACAGGAUUAUAAGGAAGAGAAUCCAUGUCCGAGUGGAACAUGUUCAACCCUCUAGGUGCCAUGAGAAGAUCCAGGAGAGGAUAAAGAAGAAUGACAAAUUGAAAGCUGAUGCAAAGACGCAGGGAAAAGUUAAUGAUAUCUCAAGGGUGGUUACUAAGGCGUUUUGGCUGCAGGAUUUGUGUUCUAAUGUUUUGUGGAUUUUCCCUUUCCCAUAUUAUCUCAUUAGACUUGUGCUCUUCAUUUGCUUAUGUGAUGGACAACGAUGAUAUUGGUAAGUGACAUGUCUUAUUUUUCUGAA